GGCCUGAUCAUGGAGAUACGUCUAAGUAGGCAAGACCUGUAUUUGCACUUCUGUCUUGAAGCCUCUGUGCUGCAAGGUCGAAUCAACGCGACAGAGUGAGCUCCCAUCGCUUUGUCCCAGCAGUUUGAAAGCAUGCAAAUGCGAGUAGAUAAAUAGGUACCACCUCGGUGGGAAGGUAACAGCGUUCAGUGUCUAGUCGCGCUGGCCAUGUGACCACGGAAACUGUCUUUGGACAAACGCUGGCUCUACAGCUCAGAGAUGGGGAUAAGCACCACCCCCUAGAGUCGGACACGACUGGACUAAAUGUCAAGGGGAACCUUUACCUUUGAGAAAGAGGAUGUUGAUUCACAAAAGCUCACAUCGAAAUAAGAUGGUGAGUCUUUAAAGUGCUGCAGUAGCUUGCCACCCUCUCCCCUCCUCCCCGCCUAUUUCCCCAUCUUCUGUCUCAUCAGGGUCCAACUCUGACCUCGUUCACCUUGCUCUCCGAGUGUGCAGAUCAGUUUUGUCCAUCCUGUCUGGAGUUGGAUGUCCUGUACGUUCAGGGAACACUUGGCCCUCCAGAUGUUUGGGGCAUACCUUCUGUAAUCCCUCACCAAAGGGCACAUCAGCUGGGGCUUCUGGAAACACACAUCUGGAGGGCCAGAUUUCCACACCCCUAUUGUAUUUAGAAGGUUUAUGUAGCUUUGCCGGUCUCCGCUUCCAUGCAUCCUUUCUUUUUAUGUACUUGACAAUCACCUCUAUACACACGUCUUCUGCGCAGACAUUGUCUGAUGCAGCUGGACUAAGAUCCAAAUCCUGGUUUGCAGGUCGGAACCUACACCGUGUGCUCAUUAGAGUCUUGGCCGGUUGCAGGGAUGGUGUAACCAUAUCAUACACCCCCCCAAUACUUAAAUCACCUUCGCGUUUGUGUCUGCAGCUCCCAGUUUGCCCGCCAGGUGAAGCUCCUCCAGGAUGGCUUCCUUCGUACCCUCUAUUGUGGCUCCUUCUGCUGCCCUCGCCCCGUCCUGUCUUGGCUCUUCCAGCUUGCCCUAACUGCACCUGUGCUUGGGGAACUUCCUUCUUGGGCAGGAACUCCAAAUACCCCACAGCCAGCGUGGCCCGUGGGAGGCCGUCCUCCCCAGCUAUUGUCCGAAGUGCGAACGGGGGUCGGUCUGGUGGUUGUCCCUUUCUGGCUUCUGGCGCUCCAGCCAGAAACGUGGCACAGCACGAGGAGAGCCAUGCGGGCGUUUUUACUGCUGUCGCGUAGAAUGGCCGAUGUUCUCCCCUGUCCGUGAUUUCUUCAGCUGCGCAAGAAACAGAAAUUUAAGGGGGGGGGAUAUUUUCCAGCUCUGUUCAUGUAACAUGAGCAGAAAGCUUCACCUGCACCGUUUCUGUUUGCUGUUUAAUCAUUAAGUGCUUAAAAUCACCUAAGAACCCUUAAGGACCAGGCUGUUUGAAGGAUCGUAUCACCCCUUGUGAGCCUUCUCGGCUUUUAAGGUCUUCUGAGGAGGCCCUCCUCUUGGUUUCUUCACCUUCCCAAGCGGGCUUGGUGAGGACGCGAGACGGGGCCUUCUCGGUGGUGGCUCCCAGGCUGGCAGUGCUCUGACCCAAGAAGCCAGGUGGGCUGCCCCCUCUUGUCCUUCUGUCGUCUGCCAAAGACCUUCCUCUUCAAGCAGGCUUCGAAGCAGUAAGUCAUCACACGAAUGCUUCCUCUCUUAAACUUGAGAGA
ensembl:lncRNA